rnacentral:rRNA from 1 species
UGAGUUUGAUCCUGGCUCAGAACGAAGCUAGCUAUAUGCUUAACACAUGCAAGUCGAACGUGGCUUGCUUCCCCAUCCAUCCACGUGGGGGCAGAAGGGCAAGAGGAAUGGCCCCCUCCUAUCCUAUCCUAGCGCGUGCUCACUCACUCAAAUGAUAUGCAAGUGGUGCGCCGGGCGUGGGGCACAGCAAGCAAAGAGGCGAACGGGUGCGUAACGCGUGGAAUCUGCCGAACAGUUCACUCCAAAUCCUGAAUAAUUCAUAAAGCAAGCUAAUUCGCGCUGUUCGAUGAGCCCGCGUAGUAUGUCAGGUAGUUGGUUAAGGUAAAGCUGACCAAUCCAAUGAUGCUUAGCUGGUCUUUUCAGAUGAUCAACCACACUGCGACUA